GACGAACGCUGGCGGCGUGCUUAACACAUGCAAGUCGAACGGAAAGGCCCUGCUUUUGUGGGGUGCUCGAGUGGCGAACGGGUGAGUAACACGUGAGUAACCUGCCCUUGACUUUGGGAUAACUUCAGGAAACUGGGGCUAAUACCGGAUAGGAGCUCCUGCUGCAUGGUGGGGGUUGGAAAGUUUCGGCGGUUGGGGAUGGACUCGCGGCUUAUCAGCUUGUUGGUGGGGUAGUGGCUUACCAAGGCUUUGACGGGUAGCCGGCCUGAGAGGGUGACCGGCCACAUUGGGACUGAGAUACGGCCCAGACUCCUACGGGAGGCAGCAGUGGGGAAUAUUGCACAAUGGGCGGAAGCCUGAUGCAGCAACGCCGCGUGCGGGAUGACGGCCUUCGGGUUGUAAACCGCUUUCGCCUGUGACGAAGCGUGAGUGACGGUAAUGGGUAAAGAAGCACCGGCUAACUACGUGCCAGCAGCCGCGGUGAUACGUAGGGUGCGAGCGUUGUCCGGAUUUAUUGGGCGUAAAGGGCUCGUAGGUGGUUGAUCGCGUCGGAAGUGUAAUCUUGGGGCUUAACCCUGAGCGUGCUUUCGAUACGGGUUGACUUGAGGAAGGUAGGGGAGAAUGGAAUUCCUGGUGGAGCGGUGGAAUGCGCAGAUAUCAGGAGGAACACCAGUGGCGAAGGCGGUUCUCUGGGCCUUUCCUGACGCUGAGGAGCGAAAGCGUGGGGAGCGAACAGGCUUAGAUACCCUGGUAGUCCACGCUGUAAACGGUGGGUACUAGGUGUGGGGUCCAUUUCACGGGUUCCGUGCCGUAGCUAACGCUUUAAGUACCCCGCCUGGGGAGUACGGCCGCAAGGCUAAAACUCAAAGGAAUUGACGGGGCCCCGCACAAGCGGCGGAGCAUGCGGAUUAAUUCGAUGCAACGCGUAGAAUCUUACCUGGGUUUGACAUGGAUCGGGAGUGCUCAGAGAUGGGUGUGCCUCUUUUGGGGUCGGUUCACAGGUGGUGCAUGGCUGUCGUCAGCUCGUGUCGUGAGAUGUUGGGUUAAGUCCCGCAACGAGCGCAACCCUUGUUCACUGUUGCCAGCACGUUAUGGUGGGGACUCAGUGGAGACCGCCGGGGUCAACUCGGAGGAAGGUGGGGAUGACGUCAAGUCAUCAUGCCCCUUAUGUCCAGGGCUUCACGCAUGCUACAAUGGCUGGUACAGAGAGUGGCUAGCCUGUGAGGGUGAGCGAAUCUCGGAAAGCCGGUCUCAGUUCGGAUUGGGGUCUGCAACUCGACCUCAUGAAGUCGGAGUCGCUAGUAAUCGCAGAUCAGCAACGCUGCGGUGAAUACGUUCCCGGG
rnacentral:rRNA from 1 species